rnacentral:piRNA from 1 species
UUAACAACGACUUUUGGAAAU